rnacentral:rRNA from 1 species
CUCUGUGACUCCUACGGGAGGCAGCAGUGGGGAAUAUUGCACAAUGGGGGAAACCCUGAUGCAGCCAUGCCGCGUGUGUGAAGAAGGCCUUCGGGUUGUAAAGCACUUUCAGUAGGGAGGAAGGUAGUGUAGUUAACACCUGCAUUAUUUGACGUUACCUACAGAAGAAGCACCGGCUAACUCCGUGCCAGCAGCCGCGGUAAUACGGAGGGUGCGAGCGUUAAUCGGAAUUACUGGGCGUAAAGCGCAUGCAGGCGGCCUGUUAAGUCAGAUGUGAAAGCCCCGGGGCUUAACCUCGGAAUUGCAUUUGAAACUGGCAGGCUAGAGUCUUGUAGAGGGGGUAGAAUUUCAGGUGUAGCGGUGAAAUGCGUAGAGAUCUGAAGGAAUACCAGUGGCGAAGGCGGCCCCCUGGACAAAGACUGACGCUCAGAUGCGAAAGCGUGGGGAGCAAACAGGAGUAGAUACCCUGGUAG